rnacentral:lncRNA from 1 species
AUUAGUCCUCAUUGGCAAUUACACAAUAAAUAUUUAUUGAAUGAAUUAAUGGAUCAGCUAACAAACUAUCCCUCUCCUCCCUUGACCAACAGGACCCCAGAGAGAUGCACAAGCAGCUCGAGAAUUUAUCCUGAAGAUGUUCGUGGACCUGAACCCAGACAGUGACAAAAUUAUCUACUCCCACUUCACGUGUGCCACAGACACCGAGAACAUCCGCUUUGUCUUUGCCGCCGUCAAGGACACCAUCCUCCAGUUGAACCUGAAGGAGUACAAUCUGGUCUAAUCGUGCCUCCCAGAAACCUGCCCUUCCCUUCCCUGGUGGGCUAUUGAAGAUAUACAAGAGGGACUGUAUUUCUGUGGAAAACAAUUUGCAUAAUACUAAUUUAUUGCCGUCCUGGACUCUGUGUGAGUGUGUCCACAGAGUUUAUAGUAAAUAUUAUGAUUUUAUUUAAACUAUUCAGAGGAAAAACAGAGGAUGCUGAAGUACAGUCCCAGCACAUUUCCUCUCUAUCUUUUUUUUAGGCAAAACCUUGUGACUCAAUGUAUUUUAAAUUCUCAGUCAUGCACUCACAAAGAGUCGUUUCUCUAUUUCUCUCUCUUACUCUCUUUCUUUUCUAUUGAGCAAAACAAAGCUGAUUUCCCUUUUUCCUAAUCCAUACAUCCCUCCUGAUUUUUUUUUUUCCCCAGGUUACAAUGGCCUUUAUCCUAGUUCUAUUCUUGGUCAAGUUUUUCUUUCGAAUGAUGGUCAGGACAAUGUCAUUCGAUUUAAGCCAUCCUACAUCAGCUUAACCUAACACUUUGUAGUUUUUGCUGAAGGAUUAUAUGUAUUACUACUAUGGUUUUCAAUGUAUUGCUCUGGAUACACAUCUAGUGUUUCUUUUUUGAUAUAUAGUCUCGUCUUACUGGACUAGGACAAUGGAUGCCCAUCAAACAGUUAAGCGUCAUUUCUUUGAAUUUUGACCUUCAGGCAUAGUUCAUGAUUGCUCAGAGAAAUGCACAGAAGUUGGAGGCAUGGGCAAAGACACAUAGAAGGAGUCCUUUCUUUUGAAAUCCAUGUGCCAUUGUCCUUUCUCCCUUCCUUGCUGAAUGCCCUGCCCCUGACUCCCCCGCCUCCACCCUUUCUUUAAAUCACAGAUGCCAAAAAACAUGCCAACAGACACUACAUUGCCCCAAUGGCUGCUACCCAGAGCCUUUUCAUAGGUUAUUUUUUGUUUUUGUUUCUUGGUUCCAACUUUUUUUAAUUUUUUCUUUUGCGAUUGGGCCACAAUUUUUCAGUGAUUUUUUUUUUUUUUUAUUAUGGGUAUGUGUUGCCAAAACUGGCUUUUUGUAAAGCAAAACAAAUUAAGACCUUACAAAAUAAAAGCCAGUGUCUUAAAGAGAGUAAGACUGUGAAGCUGAAGAUGACUGGCUGAGCAAGAACCUACCAGUUGCCAAAUAAUCGGUAACUGUAAAUCUGAUGCUCAUGGUCCAUUCUUUUCUUUGCCCUUCAGAUCACGUGGUUUAGUGUCCAGUCCCACGUUGAGUGCCCCAGAUCAGCACUGUAGAAAAGUCUCCUGUGUGGUUUAUCAUGAAAUCUGCUCAUGUCUUGUUUAUUGGAAGCCAGUUUUACUCGCUCUUAUGUCCUUUAAGUUCAAGUAAGUCUGCCAAGAAUGUUGGUUGAUAGUAUUAUCCUGACACCUUUAAUUUGCAAAAAAAAAAAAAGUGACUGCUGGUUUAUCUCCUUCAGGAUCUUCUUGAACUGGUGACUGAUUGAGUUGAACUUAAGGAAGUUUUGUGGACUUAAAAGUAACCUCUCAGUGUUCCAUUGAACAUGUAUCUCUGUAACUGAACCUCCUAGGAGAGAUGUUUGGAAUUCUACAUGUGCAAUUUUUCAACACAUGCAAAAAAUACAGCACAUGUAUCAUGAACUUCUGACAAGCAGCCUAAGUUGAGAUGUGAUUUAAGAAAGAAAUCAUGAUUGUUUUAAAGCUGCUGAGAAGUUAGCAUGAGGCCAUGACUCUAGUCUCAGUACUAUUGGGCACUAGUCUAAACAUUCAUAUAAAUCACUUUUUUGAAUAACAAAGGGGAGGGAGAAAAUUAACAGCUUUUGAGUACCAAAGUUACUGAAUAGUAAUGAAAUGUUCUUAUUCUUAAUUCUCCCAGCCUCAAACAACACAGGUUACUUUUUUUUUUCUUUACUCAGAAAGCACCUGUAAUUUAAUUAACAGACUGCCUGUAGGUAUAGUGCAAUUACGAAUGCUCUAAUCGUUGUACAUACAUCUCUCUUGAUAUUGCAGCAUCCAUACUGGCUUUGUAAUCAUUAAUUUUUUUGGCAGAUUGAAUGUGCUGUAUUGAUAUGUAUCUAUGUAAUUGUAUUGUAUGUCUUAUAGCUAAUUCACAUUUUGAAUAAUGUUAUUUUAUUUACUUUUUUAAGAGAGGAGAAUGUAAAUUUGUCAGUUUAUUUCUGACUAGGGAUAUUUUUUUCCAUUUAGAAAACAAGAAAAAAACAAAAACCUUACUAUCGUACAGAGCGGUACUAGCAUCGUGCUGUAUAAAAUCAUUUGCACAUUCCUGAGUAGAGGUAUACUGAUUCUAAGACCCAAAGGUAAUUUCAUAGCAAAAUACAUAAAAUCAGUCGGAGCUUUUAUACAAACAUGGAAACCAACUUUGUAGAACUUUUGCCAUUUGAUCUAGGAUUGGAAUAUGAGCUUUUAUACAAUUCAUAUUCUUAUUUGGCAAAUGCACAGUUUAGUAUUACCUCUCUGAUGGCCUUUAUUAGAGAAAGGCAGUUUUAGAAGCUAUUGUGAUCCACUAAGGAAACGUUUUAACAGCUAGAGACCACUGCUUGCCUGAAAGGGCGAUCUUAAAUUUGGUGCAGCAAAAAAUAAAACAAAAAAAUACAAAAAUAAAAACAAAAAAAAUGUAAACAGCAACAUUUGAUGGCCUACAGUGUGUAUAGAGAAAACCUCAUCACAAGAUCAUAAGUGUUACAGUUUUAGGGAAUCAAGAUAUUCUAUUUAAUAGAGCUCUAGUAGAUGUAGUUGAUUAAACCUGAUCUCAAAGCUCGAAGAAGCUGAGCAAAACAGGGAAAGAUUGUUAUAUUUGUCUUUAUGAAGUUGGGAUGGAAUUUGCUAUGCAGAAUUGAGGUUUGUGGCUUUGCUGCUUAUCUUGGGGUGCAUGACAGGAUCCCUUCUUUUGAGAAGGGAAAUAAUUGAUCACCCUAGCUGCAGUGAGGCAUAGAAACCUAAUUGUAUCCACACUAGUCAAUCGAAGCUACAGGAUUUUUUGUUGAUAUUGUUUCUUUGGGGUUUUAUUGAAGGGGCGAGGGGCGGGAAGGGAUUCUUUUCAGUUUUGUAUAAAAACAAAGUUUACUCAUGCUUUCUAUUCUAUUGUGAUUGCUCUAAGCGUGUGCCACUGGACUCCAGUUGUUGAUGCUCUAGGUAAUGGAGGCUUGUGGCGAGUUUUAUGGUGACUUGGGCAUGUCUUAUUCAAAAACAAAACACAAAACACAGAAACCUUUCUUCAGCAUACCAAGGCAAGCAGCCAUUUCAUGACUCACGUAACACAUUGCAGUGUACCAGUUUACAGAUAAUUUUUCCUUUUUUUAAAGUUUUUUAUUUUUGUUUCUGCUUGAUGCAGCAGUUCCAACCCACAGAGAAUUCCUUAUUUGUAAAUUGGAGGUUUUUACUAUGCCUUACAGAGCUUAAAUUCAGAAGUUUGUGCCUCGAAUCUGAAACAAAGGGAAAUAACACACUUAUUUAAAAGUCAGUAAAUCCCCUAGAAGUUAUCGGGGUUUUUUUCUUUCUUAACAUUUCCAUGUAAAGAGCUCUGUUGAAUGUCAUGAAUAGAUGGCGGAGGAAAGAAAAAUCUUAGGAACCUGCACUUGUUAUUCACUAGCAGAUGACAUCUACAGAAGGUAUUUGAAGAACACCAGAAACUUUCUUUUUCUUUUUCCUUUUUUUUGUCUUUUUUUAAAUGAGAUCAACUACCAGGCCUGAUAUUUUAAAAAGGUAAUUCAGCUAAAGGGCAAUUUACUUUUUUGUACUUCAGACUAUCUUGAUUGUCAAGGUGUACGAACUGUAAUUUUAAAAUUUAUACUGCCACAUGAUUGUAAAUUUUAGUUGUCUUAAGUUAGGAAUUGGUGGAAAGCUAUUUAUGCUGGAUUUGGGUCAAAAUGACUUAUCUGCAAAAAAAUAAAAAUAAAAAAUAAUAAUGGGAAGAAAGGGCUGCAUAAUAAGAUACUGCAAGACUCAAAUAUUGGUUGGAAAUUCCCCUCAGAUUACCCUCAAUUUCCCUUUGUUUUCACUUUCUCAAGAAGAACGAAUGAAAUGAAAUAUAGCAGAAUGUUAACCCAUAUAAAAAUAAAGCGUACCCAAAUAUUGUAAUGCAUAUUGCUGCUCUUCUUAAAAAUCAAUGAGGGUCUUAAACCACUUAAUUGGCAAUUAAUAACAUCUCAAAUUCAUGAAAAUAAGGUGUGCUUGGUAUACAUUCAUAUUUUCUUCCAAAGAGAUAUCUUUGGUUAGAAACACACACAAAAUCAAAACUAAGAAUAUCAUAUGUUUAACUAUCUCUACAUAUUUCCAGCAUAUGUAGCGUUAAUAGAUCUGUCCUGGUACCUGUGUCUUGGGGAUUUCGUUUUAGUUCCAUCAAGUUAGGAAAAGAAAUGGCUUAGUUGUAUAUGAUUAGCUAGAUGUUUUUGGAGCCAGACACCUGCUGUUUAGUAGUUAACUUAGUACAGUCUAAACUUGUCAUUUGUUUUCCUCACAGAGUAACCAUUUCCUGCUCUCUUCCCUACUACCACUGCCCUUUCAAUAACACUCUUGCCUCUAGAAUCAUAUGUUCCAAGUAUGCAUACACACCUAGCACAUAGUAGGUGCUCAAAUAUUAAUUUCCUCCUUACCUUUCUUACCUACCAUGUAGCCUCCAUUUCCCCAUAUGAUUCCAACCCAAGCUCUUGGGUAAAAUUGGAUUUUACUUGGAUAAAGAAUUCUGACUUUGGUAGAAGUUUUUGGUAGACAGAAAAUAAUAACAGGGAGGAAGGUAUUAUUCUUCAGUAGAAUAUUUUUAGGUUUAGGAAAGAAAGAUGGAAAAUUACUGUGUAACUUUGUCCAGGUGACUUGGAUUGAAACACAUGUUUUUUGUGGAUUUCUUUUCCUCAAAGAACUCUCUAAAUGCAACUUCUUGCUGGAUUCCUCACCCAUCACGUUGGAACCCCUGACUAGACCAUGUAUUUAGGGAGUUUUGUCAGAAAACAUUUUUAACUUACAGUAUUUAAAAGAAUCAUAUUUACUGUUCUUAAAAUGUCAUUCAAUGCAUGUAUUGUCUAUUGUUUGGGGAUGGGAACUAGUUUUGCAAAAACACCUAAUGUUGUAUAAUAAUGCCCCAAUGAUCUUGCUGGUUAAAAAUACAGUAUUUUUGGCCAUAAUUUUGUACUACAGUAU